ensembl:lncRNA
GAGAUGGUGCCAAAGAUUGGACCAAUCUGGAUCCCAGACCUCUAUUAGAUUUAACUGAGUCUGAGGGUUAUUCAGAAUCACCUCUACAAAUCACAGAAACAUGCACUGGCUUCAAGGGAGACCUGUGUCCUACAGGUGAAUGUUCUGCAGGCUACUACUAUGACUGGGGCUCCAGCAGUCUGGAGCAGAGUCUCUGUCCUUCCGGUUUCUAUUGCCCAGCAGGCCCACACAAGCCCCUGGCCUGCACUGCAAGCACUUACAGCUCCGUCAUGGGCAAAAGUCACCAAGGAAAUUGUUAGCCAUGCCCAUUAUGCUUCUACCGUCAGGGUGCGUUAUUUAUUCUGUUUACAAGAAAAUUUGUUUAAAACUGUCUAUGUACUCUUAUAAGUCUAUUACAAUAGAUCCUAUUGUAUUACAAUGCAGGGGAAGCAGUAGCAGAGCCUCUUCCAUGUCUGCCGGGGCAUUUCUGCCCCACGGGCACAUCACAGGGCACUCAGUUCCCCUGUCCUCCAGGAACAGUGCAGGCACAGUCUGGGACAGCCAGUAUAGAUGAAUGUCUACCAUGUCCUGCAGGUGACAACAUGACAACAAAAAGAUUUAUUGCAUGUAUAGACUACCAUUCAAAGUUUGUGGGUCAAUAAUAUUUUCUGUCUAAAAUUCUCUGUAUGUGGAGAAAAAAACAUCUAAUUCAUGUAAUCUGUUUGUCUAGGCAUGUUUUGUGCUCGCCAUGGUCUUUCAGAGCCUACAGGGUGCUGCCAGGAUGGAUUUCACUGCCCUUUAGGGGCUACAAGCCCAAAUGGCACUUGAAAUCUGGUAUAUAUUCUUCUGUCUCUUAAUAAAGACACUGUGUGUUCAGAAAGGGUUAAACUAAUUUACAAUGUGUGAUUUGCAGAUUGAAUCUACAGGCAACAACUUGCACCCGCCUGGCCAUUAUUGUCCAACUGGUAUUGGCUUUCCUCUCCCAUGCCCUGCUGGAACAUUCUCCAGCUCCCCAUGGUUGAGUGGGACAGAGCAGUGCCAGCCGUGUCCUCCUGGGUACUUCUGUGUGCAGACUGCUAUGGUCCAUCCAUCAGAAGCAGCUCUCUGUGAUGCUGGGUCAUUUUUGCCCUUUUGGCACUGCUGCAGCUGUACCGUGUCCUGUGGGCACACUGGGACAGGUUACCAGGGCUCAGUCGGAGGCUGCCUGUGUGCCCUGUCCUACCGGCCUCUACUGCAACCUGGAACAUCACAACCACAGGGGGGUUACUUCAUAGAAAGCUGUCUUCCAUGCCCAGCAGGGCAUCAUUGUGCCAGCGAGGGCCUGGAUGCUCCAACUGGACACUGUGCUGCAGGUUUUUACUGCCCCAUAGACUUCUCCUCCACCACCCCGCAUGCCUUCCUCUGCCCCAAAGUUGGUUUGGCCUCCUUCAUACCCUUCUAUCUCUUUUUAAUCUGAGCAUACUGCCUGACUUAUAGGUUUUGCUCUUUCAGGGUCAUUACUGUCCCUUAGGCUCACCCCUGGCCUUGCCCUGCCCCACAGGACAGAACCAUCCAAAUCCGGGCUUGGAUAACUGCAUCCCCUGUCGUCCAGGCUAUUACUGUGAGGAGGCAAUUAUCGGAGACCCCCAGCCUUGCCCCCCACACUCCUACCCCCCUGCAGGUAACCCUGCUGCUGUAACUCUCUAUAUUAUAUCUGUGGUAUCAUUAGUACUUGCACAUAAUCUGAUUUUGCUUGUAAUUGCAGCCACAAUGGUUCCUCAGCCCUGUCACAAUGGCACAUAUACCCCACCUGAGGUCGGGGGUCUGCUAGAGGAGAGAGAGUGUUUGCCGUGUCCACCAGGAAAGUUCUGCAAGUAUGUUCACAGAUCACAUGAGGGUGCCUCUUCAACCAUGGGCACUUAUGACCUUGUGGACCUUUAGAAAAUAAAAUUAAAACAAACUUUGCA